rnacentral:lncRNA from 10 species
CUUCGCCCCCGGGCCUUUCAGUGGCGCGGGCCGAGUGGCCAUGGCGCUCGGGUGCGCGCAGUGCACGCGGUGAGCUGGAGACGCAGGCAUUGCGCGGCCCACCGGCUGAGCCCGCUCUCCCUGCGAGGGGGGCGCAGCUCGGUGGAGAGGGUGGCCCGGAGGACCGGGAACCGGGCUGGAGGCGCGCGGGGCUCACACCGCGGGGUCCGCGGGGAGCCGGGCCUCGGGCUGCAGGUGCAGGCUUGUGGCGGUGAGGCGACUGGAGCGGCACGGGAGCCCGCCCGUUUCGGGGAGAGCCCGGGGCGAUCGCGGGGGGAGGCCGGCCUGGCGUCCGGGAGCCCGGCGUGCUAGGGCCCGGUAGGCGGGGCGGGCCUCGCACUCGGUUGCUCGCUGCGGCGCCGGAGGAACGGGUCUAUGGGGGUGUGGGUGAGGCCAGAAGCCGGGUCGAAGAGGGGGAGGGGGUGCGAAGAGAUGGCGGUGUGUAGACAGGUGACCCGGUGGGUCGGUGACGCAGGAGGAGACUGCGCUUGGUGGCGGGAUCACUUAGUUGACAACAUCUAAAAAUUAGGAGGUGCGGCAGGGCGCGGUGGCUCACGCCUGUAAUCCUAGAACUUUGGGAGGUCGUGGCGGGUGGACUACCUGAGGUGAGGAGUUCGAGACCAGCCUGGCUAACCUGGUGAAACCCCGUCUCUAUUAAAAAUACGAAGCAAUGAGCUGGGCGUGGUGGCGGGCGCCUGUAAUCCCAGCUACUCGGGAGGCUGAGGCAGGAGAAUCACUUAAACCUGGGAGGCGGAGGUUGCAGUGAGCCGGGAUUGCGCCAUUGCACUCCAGCCUGGGUGACAGAGUGAGACUCUCUCAAAAAAAAAAAAAAAAAAAAAAAAAAAAAAAAAAAAAAAAAGGGAGGUGCUCAGUCAAGCCUCUGAGAGGAGUGGGGGGCGGGGCGAGGAGUCUCUUGCUCAGAGCCCCCUAGGGACUGGGACCCGUUGACUCUGAGCUGCUUUUGAGGCUGGAUCAGGUACCAGCGGCCUGGGGGUCGUACAGGAUGGGAGAGGCCGGGGCUUGGGAUGUUGCCAGAUCUACGUUGAAAAGUGAAGCAGGAAGAGAGGCACUGAGGCUGGGCACAUGGGGAAAACCGUGGAGAGCCGGCCUUUGGGGACUAGAAGAGUGGGAACAAUGGUUGACAAAUGGUGAGUGUGGUGUAGAACAGCAGUAACACAAUACCAGGAUCCACAGAGUGGCCAGGGCCAGAGUGGGGAGAAGGAACAGGACUCUGCAGAUGGGGAGGGUAAGGGGCUGGGUGGCGUGAAGGGUGGUUGCAGAAUUUGGGGAGGGCAGCUAGCCUGUGACCCAGGUUCCAAGGGCACUGAGGUCUGGGCCAGGCCGCUUGGAGGCACCAGAGCCUCAGAGGAGGGGUGGGGUAGAGGAACGGAUCCAGCAUGGUGUCCCCCUUGGCCACCAGAGGGAGUUUUCUAAAUUUGAGCAUGGCUCAUCGCUGCUUGAAAUUCUACGUCACAGUGUGGCCUGCAUUGAGGAGGGCCCACACCUGUCGCUACCUCAGACUCACCUGCCACCUGCCUCAAGUGCAUGAGAGAGAACAGGAAACCAGAAAUUGUCAGGAUCGAGGAUUAUGGGAAAAGAGUAAAAGCCUAGCUGUCAGAUCUGAGGUUCCACCAAGGAGCACUGAUGGGUGCUUCUCAUUAGGAAGGCGGUGCGGUGGCUCACACCUGUAAUCCCAGUACUUUGGGACGCCGAGGUGAGUGGAUCACCUGAGGCCAGGAGUUCGAGACCAGCCUGGCCAACAUGGUGAAACGUCAUCUCUAUUAGAAAUACAAACAUUAGCUGGGCGUGGUGAUGGGUGCUUGUAAUUCCAGCUAUUCAGGAAACCAAGGCAGGAGAAUAACUUGAAUCCACGAGGCAGAGGUUGCAGUGAGCCGAGAUUGCUCCACUGCACUCCAGCCUGGGCAACAGAGCAAAAACUGCAUCUCAAAAAAAUAAAAACAAAAAAACAGAGGGGACACCAGUUCCCAGCACUCCAGGCCUAACUUCAUAGCACUCACAUCAUGUCAAGUGAGUAACCAAAAAUCAGUGUACAUAUGUACACAGCUAUACAUAUCUCACACUAAGUUUUCUGUAAGAGUUCUUUUUAUUGCAGAGACACUGCUUUUUUUCUGGUUUAUGAAAUACAGUGAACAUUUAUGGACACAAAGCUGAGGUGACAGGGUGGGGAGGGGGGCCUUGGAACAGCACCAAGAAUCCUGGUUGAACCCUCCAAGUGAAAAGAUCCUGCCACGACAUACGUGAACCAGGUGUGACACGUGAGCACGUCUCACCUGAUCCGGCCUAUGGUGGGGAGAAGCAAUUGAGGAAGGCCUUCUGGGCAGGAGGAAGUUGUUGCUGAGGCUGCCGAGCAGGAUGUGUUGGGCCUGUGACUUAGGCAGAAAGGGCGCUCAGGCCCACAUGCUCAGAUGUGAGGACCUGCUUGCUGUGUUCAGGGAGCCACAAGUCACCUGGUCUUAGGGAAAGGUGAGGGGACUGGAGAGUUCUGAGGACCUUGAGGUAGAUUGGCACUGCCAGGCAUGUAGGCUGGCUUUAGCUCACUGAUACGCCUUGUUCAGCCCAGAGAGGUUUUCUUUUUUUAAUUGAUUAGUUGAUUUAAGAAACAUUUAGAUUUGGGAUGAGCUGUUUUGGAUGUUUAUCCUCAAUGAAACUCAUGUUCAAACUUAAUCUCCAAUGUGGCAGUACUGAGAGGUGGGGCCUCUAAGCGUGGUUGGGAUUAACCUGUCGAUGGAUUCAUGGAUUAAAGGGUUAUCACCGGAGUGGGACUGGUGACUUCAUUAGAAGAGGAAGGAAGACCUGAGCUGGCCUGUGAAUAUGCUCCGCCCCCUGGCCAUGUGACACCUGCGCCACCCUCAGGACUCUGCAGAGUCCCCAGCAGCAAGAAGGCCCUCACCAGGUGCAGCCCCUCAACCUUGGACUUCUCAGCCCCCAGGGCUGUAACAAAUAAAUUCUUUUUUAAAGUAAAUUACCCAGUUUCAGGUAUUCUGUUAUAAGCAACAGAAUAAGAAACAGACUAAGACAAGAGCACAGCGGGGUGGAGGAGCUAGGGGUGCCUGGGGCAUUGGGGACCUGUCCGGAGGCCAGCUGUGUAUGCAGCCACAGUGCCAACGGGUUUCUGUGAUCCUGAUAUCCCCCACCCUUGACUGGCCUGGAUUCCAAUCCGACUCUUGUCAGCUGUGCUCCUCUGGGCAAGGGAUUCACUUCUGUCUGCCUUGGUUCUGUAGGAAGUGGCAUGGAGAAGGACAGAAGCAGGAAGAGCUGGGUGCGGCCCAUGCAGCAGGGAUGGUGUAGGUCCUUAUGCUGACUGCCUCUGUCCCCUCAACACUUUGCCUGCCCUCCCCCCAUUGCACUAACCCACAUCUUCCCUUCUCCCCUACAAGGACCCAGAGAUGUGCUAGAGGGUGUAAGUCGGGGCUGUCCCAGCUGUGUGUUGUAGAAAACUAAACUGCACUUAAACCAAUGGGGACGUUUACUGGGAGGUGCCUGUAACAUCAUACCCAGGGGAGGUAGGGGCAGAGCUGGUCUGGAAACUCUAGGGCCAUGGAGGCCACUGCAGGCCCAAAUGGAGUUUGAAAACCCACAACAAUGGACUCUGAUGGUCCCCCAGACAGGGCUUCCAUUCUGGAACUAGUCAGCCAUGCUGGGCAGACAGGCUCAUGUGAGGACAUGGCAGGGAAGGGCAGAAUUGGGAAAGGCAGAAGUCUGGAAGUUUCUUCCAUGGUGAUGAUUAGAAUGAGGGCAUCUGAGCUGGGGCGCAGCUGAGGGUGUGGCACUGUAUGGAAACAGGGUUAUUUGGGGGCUGUAUAACUGAAUGCUGAACCCAGUGGCCCUUAGCCCUCCUCCUCCGGGAAUCCCCCAGAGCACCAGCAGCUGGGACUGUCCUCAGGCAGGGAGCCAGCAAGCUGUUCUCCAGAAGUCUGACCAGCCCUGAAGGGAAGACCUGAGGUAUGAACAUUAUGACACCCCCACCCCCACCAGAUUUCCCAGCAGUGAAUCCUGCAUCAACCAGC